rnacentral:rRNA from 1 species
AGAGCGAAUGCUGGCGGCAGGCCUAACACAUGCAAGUCGAGCGCCCGUAGCAAUACGGGAGCGGCAGACGGGAUAGUAACACGUGGGAACGCGCCCUUCGGUUCGGAAUAACUCAGGGAAACUUGAGCUAAUACCGGAUACGCCCUUACGGGGAAAGAUUUAUUGCCGAAGGAACGGCCCGCGUCCGAUUAGCUAGUUGGUGAGGUAAUGGCUCACCAAGGCGACGAUCGGUAGCUGGUCUGAGAGGAUGACCAGCAUCACUGGGACUGAGACACGGCCCAGACUCCUACGGGAGGCAGCAGUGGGGAAUAUUGGACAAUGGGCGCAAGCCUGAUCCAGCCAUGCCGCGUGGAUGAUGAAGGCCUUAGGGUUGUAAAGUCCUUUUAACGGGGAAGAUAAUGACGGUACCCGUAGAAUAAGCCCCGGCUAACUUCGUGCCAGCAGCCGC